GCCCAGCUAGCUCAAUCGGUAGAGCGUGAGACUCUUAUGAGAAAGAAUCUCCGUAUCACCUCGAUAUAUAUCGAGGUUGUGGGUUCGACCCCCAGGUCGGGCU